rnacentral:rRNA from 1 species
UCAGUCGACUCCUACGGGGAGGCAGCAGUGGGGGAAUAUUGCACAAUGGGCGCAAGCCUGAUGCAGCCAUGCCGCGUGUAUGAAGAAGGCCUUCGGGUUGUAAAGUACUUUCAGCAGUGAGGAAGGGUUCAUGCGUUAAUAGCGUAUGGAUUUGACGUUAGCUGCAGAAGAAGCACCGGCUAACUCCGUGCCAGCAGCCGCGGUAAUACGGAGGGUGCGAGCGUUAAUCGGAAUUACUGGGCGUAAAGCGCAUGCAGGUGGUUUGUUAAGUCAGAUGUGAAAGCCCGGGGCUCAACCUCGGAAUUGCAUUUGAAACUGGCAGACUAGAGUACUGUAGAGGGGGGUAGGAAUUUCAGGUGUAGCGGUGAAAUGCGUAGAGAUCUGAAGGAAUACCGGUGGCGAAGGCGGCCCCCUGGACAGAUACUGACACUCAGAUGCGAAAGCGUGGGGAGCAAACAGGAUUAGAUACCCUGGUAG